GGCUCCCUGUUUGGCUGCUUUCUCCCUGCCACACCAGGAAUUAUUUCUCCACUGCCAUGCUGCCCUGCCUUGGAGCCAGCUGACUAUGGAUUGGAACCUCUACAAACUUCACAAUGAUGCGCUCUUUUUUAAUGGAUGAGGAAACUGGAGCUCAGGGUUUGAGUCACUGACCUAAGUGAUCACCAACUGCUGUGGCUCAGGUGUGAAGGGUGGGGCUCUGGCUGGCAUCUUGGACCAAGUAGAUGAUAGCCACACCUUGAAAAUUGGGUCUUUAGCACAGGGCCUGGUGCACAGAAGAAGCUGCAUCGAGGUGCACAGGACUGCAAAGGGGAAGGAGAUGGAGUUGGACGGCCAUGGGAAAGACAAAAGGAAACAACAUACCUGAAGUUUGGGGAGU
rnacentral:lncRNA from 1 species